AAAAAGGGAGGAGGAGACCAACCGUUUCUUAUCAGAUCCUACCCCUCCCGGAUCGUCUUCUUUAUAGACCCCCCCAGAUCCUCGUCUUAAUCGUCAUACCCCCGCCCCAAACGAUCCAUCCCUUCUUCUUUAACCUACAUAGGCCCUAAACCAAGUCUAGCAACCCGUCACUGCCCGGCAGCCCCUCGAACAUCAUCAGCAACCUAACC
rnacentral:lncRNA from 1 species